UACGGAGGGUGCAAGCGUUAUCCGGAUUCACUGGGUUUAAAGGGAGCGUAGGUGGGGUGGUAAGUCAGUGGUGAAAUCUCCGGGCUUAACUCGGAAACUGCCGUUGAUACUAUCAUUCUUGAAUAUUGUGGAGGUAAGCGGAAUAUGUCAUGUAGCGGUGAAAUGCUUAGAUAUGACAUAGAACACCAAUUGCGAAGGCAGCUCACUACACGAAUAUUGACACUGAGGCACGAAAGCGUGGGGAUCAAACAGG
rnacentral:rRNA from 1 species